UUCGUCGAUAAGUUCGUCAGGCUCAGACGGCACUAAAAAAAUCAUCCAUAUCCAUUCGACUAUCAGCCUUUGGUGCGGCAAGACAUUUUGAAAUUCACAAUGGCUCAUUGGUACGCGAACAACAAAUACACCGAGGAAAUGAUGAAGGUGAUGCGAACUAAGGGCUUCAAACGGACCAUGAUGGGUGUGGUGAUUGGCUCGGUGGCCGGCUUGAUGGUUAUAAACUACAACAACAAGAGGCUCGGACAUAGCGAGACAAUUAAAAGACACUAACUUGUCAUGGGGUGUAUUUUAGCUGAGCAAAUUUUUGCUUAACGGCUUAUAAUCAAGAUGAAUGACUGAAGAUGGAA